rnacentral:rRNA from 1 species
ACUGGAAUUUCUUGUGUAGGAGUGAAAUCCGUAGAUAUAAGAAGGAACACCGAUGGCGUAGGCAGGUUACUGGGCCAUUUCUGACGCUAAGGCACGAAAGCGUGGGGAGCGAACCGGAUUAGAUACCCGGGUAGUCCACGCCGUAAACGAUGGAUACUAGCUGUUGGAGGUAUCGACCCCUUCAGUAGCGAAGCUAACGCGUUAAGUAUCCCGCCUGUGGAGUACGGCCGCAAGGCUAAAACAUAAAGGAAUUGACGGGGACCCGCACAAGCGGUGGAUUAUGUUCUUUAAUUCGAUGAUAACCGAAGAACCUUACCAGGGCUUGACAUCCAGGGAAGGUCUAUGAAAGUAGACUGUGCCUUUUGGAACCCUGUGACAGGUGAUGCAUGGCCGUCGUCAGCUCGUGUCGUGAGAUGUUUGGUUAAGUCCAUCAACGAGCGCAACCCUUGUGUCUAGUUGUAUUUUUCUAGACAGACUGCUUCGGUAACGGAGAGGAAGGAGGGGAUGAUGUCAGGUCAGUAUUUCCCUUACGUCCUGGGCUAGAAACGUAAUACAAUGGCUAGUACAAUGCGCAGCGAAGCCGCGAGGUGAAGCAAAUCGCAUCAAAGCUAGUCCCAGUUCGGAUUGGAGGCUGAAACUCGCCUCCAUGAAGUCGGAAUCGCUAGUAAUCGCAAAUCAGCAAGUUGCGGUGAAUACGUUCCCGGGUCUUGUACACACCGCCCGUCAAACCAUGAAAGUGACCAACACCCGAAGUCCGAUUCGUCGGCCUAAGGUGGGGGGCAUGAUUGGGGUUAAGUCGUAACAAGGUAUCCGUACCGGAAGGUGCGGAUG